AUGGCGGCGGCGAUGGCGAGCGCGGCGGAGCGGGCGGUGCUGGAAGAAGAAUUUAAAUGGCUUUUACAAGAAGAGGUCCAUGCUGUUUUGAAACAGCUGCAGGAUAUUUUGAAGGAGGCCUCUCAGCGGUUCGCCCUACCCACCAGUGGCUCGGGAGGAGCCGUCAAGCAGGAGAACUUUGUGCUGAGCACAGCGGGCACAGACCAGGUGAAAGGUGUGUUGACACUGCAGGGAGAUGCCUUGUGUCAAGCUGACAUUAACCUGAAAAUGCCCAGAAAUAAUCAGCUCCUGCACUUUGCCUUUCGGGAAGACAAGCAGUGGAAAUUACAGCAGAUCCAGGAUGCUAGAAACCAUGUUAACCAAGCCAUUUACCUGCUUAUGAACAGAGAUGUAAGCUACAAGUUCAAAACAGGCUCGGAGGUUCUCAAGCUUAUGGAUGCUGUGAUGUUACAGCUCUCAAGAGCCCGAAAUAGGCUUACCACUCCAGCCACUCUGACUCUACCGGAGAUUGCCUCCAGUGGUCUCACAAAAAUGUUCACACCUGCUCUGCCUCCAGACAUCCUUGUGAAUUUCUAUAUUAACCUGAAUAAGCUGUGCCUGACUGUCUACCAACUCCAUGUGCUGCAGCCCAGCACAACCAAGAACUUCAAGCCUGCUGGAGGGUCCAUUUUACACAACCCUGGAGCCAUGUUCGAGUUUGGCAACCAGCGAUAUGAAGUCAGCCAUGUCCAUAAAGUGGAAUGUGUUGUACCAUGGUUGAACGAUGCCCUUGUCUUCUUCACAGUUUCACUGCAGCUUUGCCAGCAAUUGAAGGACAAGAUCUCUGUUUUCUCCAGUUACUGGAACUACAGGCCAUAUUAAUUAUCUGUGGAGUGUCCGAGCCCUUACAGUACUUCCAGUGUCUCCCUGUUUGUUUUCGACAUGCCAGCUGAGUCCAGGUUUAGUAUCUUGUUUUCACUGCCAGCCUUUGGAGCUGCCUCGGUACCUUGAGCACAGCUGUGCAGUCUCACAUCCUGUCAUUAAAUCCAAAGUGAGUACCUCGUUGUUACUACAAUUUGCUGCCUACCUAUGGAUGCUACAGUAUGUAACUCAUUCCUCUAGCAUUGAUAACUGUGAAAUAAAGAUCCUCAGACCUGCCAUGCUCCUGUGGGCUGUCAGU